AUGCCAUUGUGUGAUUCUGCCCACUCUGCCUGUGUCUCUCGCACAUUUCUACGUUCUUGGAGAUGCCACCCCAAGCUUAUCUUCACUGAGGAAACACUAGGCUUGAAACGGACGGAAGCAAGGGAUUUCACUAGCAGAGUUAAUCAAAUUCUGAAAAAUCACUCAGACACCGGUGUGAAGAUACUCGAGUUUGUAUUCGAUGAUCGUAACAAUGUCAACACAUGUCAUCUAAAUAGUUGGCUCCAGAAAGCUGUCACGCCAGGGAUUGAAAAAAUCACCCUUUUUCUGCCUUGGCGAUAUAGGGAAGAGUACAACUUCCCAUGCUCAAUUUUACUUGAUGGGCGUGGAAACUCAAUUUGGUAUCUUGACCUCACCAAUUGUGCCUUCCAUCCCAUGGUUGGAUUUGAUUGCUUGAGAAGCCUGACAAAGCUGCGUCUCUAUGGAGUUUGUAUCACGGGGGAUGAGUUAGGGCAUCUUAUUUCCAAUUGUUUUGCUUUGGAGGAGUUGCAAGUCUGGUGUUGCAUGGAGCUAAUCUGCUCGACGAUACCAUUCUGGCUGCAGCGGCUUAGUUGUUUGACUGUGUCAGAGUGCGAUAUGCUGCGAGUGAUAGAGAGCACAGCUCCAAACCUCACCACUUUAGACUUCUUUGGUGAACCAGUACAACUCGUGCUUAGAGAAUCAUCAAAGGUCAAACACUUGAAGGUGGGGUAUUCAUAUACGCCCAAUGCUGUAAGUUAUGCUAUCACUAAGCUACCUUCUAUUGCACCACAUCUUAAGACUCUUGCCAUAUACUCGUCUUCUGAGACGGUUAAUACCCCAAUGGUAGCUGACAAAUUCCUUGCCAUAAAGCACUUGAAUAUUCACCUUGGUGAGGAUUAUGAUGAUGCUGUUACCCCAACCUAUGAUUAUUUAUCCUUGGCUUCGUUUCUGGAUGCUUGUCCUGUCCUGGAGAGUUUCAACUUAAGUGUGGAUCAGAGUGACAUGCAGCAUGAUUCGGUUUUUGGGGAUCCCUCCUUAGGUUUGAGGCAGAUUCUUCAACACAAGCAUGAGAGGCUCAAGAAGGUCCAGAUCAUUGGCUUCUGCUCUGCAAAGAGCAUGGUUGAGCUAACAUGUGAUAUUCUCAAGAAUGCAACAUCACUUGAGAGCCUCACACUGGACUGUAUAUAUGGUGCGGGUACGGGGGCGAUCAGUGAUUCUGUUAGGUGUGGUCCCUCAAGAUCCGGUAAAUGCUGGAUCAGAAGCCAAGCUAUGAUCUUGGAAGCACAUAAAGCAGUCGGUGCCAUCAAAAGAUACAUCCUGGAGAGAGUUCCCCCUGCAGUCAAGUUAAAUGUUGGGGGGCCUUGUAGCCAGUGCCAAGCUAUGGAUGUGAUGCUACCGCAAUUAUCCAGUGUUUAG
rnacentral:rRNA from 1 species